GCUUCUCAGGUGGGAGCCUCCACUCUGGUUUGGUUUUGUCCCGUCCCCCCCGCCAAGUGCCUGGACCCCAAACAGAAAUUCUUUGAACAGUGCGCCGCCGCCGCUGGGAGGGAAGACAAAAGCUAGCAGGCGUGUCUGGAGGGUUAAACAUGCACAGCUUCUUCAACUCUUCCUCAGGGGACUUGGUUUCCAGACCCCUCACCAUCUCUGUCGCCUUCCCCUGAACCCAUUCCAGUUUAUCAACAUUCUUCUUAAGAUGUGGGACCCAGAAUUGGACACAGUCUUCCCAGUGAGGUCUGACCAGCGUAGAAAAGUUUUUCUUCCAUGACUGGUGCACAGUUCACGAUUGCCUGAGCAUCACAUGCAAGGUAAUCUUUGUUGCUGCAAAUUUAAUAAAAUGAAGCCCACAGAGACUAACGUACAAGACAAAGGAUCCUCUCUCCUGGUUUUGUACACCUCUUAUCUGAUAAUAAAACUACUGC